GAUGAACGCUAGCGGCAGGCCUAAUACAUGCAAGUCGAACGGGAUCCAGAUCAAAGCUUGCUUUGGUCUGGUGAGAGUGGCGCACGGGUGCGUAACGCGUGAGCAACCUACCCUUGUCAGGGGGAUAGCCCGGCGAAAGUCGGAUUAAUACCGCAUGACAUCAUUGAGAGGCAUCUUUCGAUGAUCAAAGAUUUAUCGGACAAGGAUGGGCUCGCGUGACAUUAGCUAGUUGGUAAGGUAACGGCUUACCAAGGCUGCGAUGUCGAGGGGCUCUGAGAGGAGAAUCCCCCACACUGGUACUGGGACACGGACCAGGCACCUACGGGAGGCAGCAGUAAGGAAGAUUGGUCAAUGGACGGAAGUCUGAACCAGCCAUGCCGCGUGCAGGAGGACUGCCCUAUGGGUUGUAAACUGCUUUUGUACGGGAACAAACGUCGGUACGUGUACCGGUCUGAGUGUACCGUAAGAAUAAGGAUCGGCUAACUCCGUG
rnacentral:rRNA from 1 species